GACGAACGCUGGCGGCGUGCUUAACACAUGCAAGUCGAACGGAAAGGCCCUGCUUGCAGGGUACUCGAGUGGCGAACGGGUGAGUAACACGUGGGUGAUCUGCCCUGCACUUUGGGAUAAGCCUGGGAAACUGGGUCUAAUACCGGAUAGGAGCCAUUUUUAGUGUGAUGGUUGGAAAGUUUUUUCGGUGUAGGGUGAGCUCGCGGCCUAUCAGCUUGUUGGUGGGGUAAUGGCCUACCAAGGCGGCGACGGGUAGCCGGCCUGAGAGGGUGGACGGCCACAUUGGGACUGAGAUACGGCCCAGACUCCUACGGGGGGCAGCAGUGGGGAAUAUUGCACAAAGGGCGCAAGCCUGAUGCAGCGACGCCGCGUGGGGGAUGACGGCCUUCGGGUUGUAAACUCCUUUCGCUAGGGACGAAGCUUUUUGUGACGGUACCUAGAUAAGAAGCACCGGCUAACUACGUG
rnacentral:rRNA from 1 species